rnacentral:rRNA from 1 species
UACGUAGGGGGCAAGCGUUGUCCGGAUUUAUUGGGCGUAAAGAGCGUGUAGGCGGUUUGGUAGGUCCGCUGUGAAAACUCGAGGCUCAACUUCGAGACGCCGGUGGAAACCAUCAGACUAGAGUCCGGAAGAGGAGAGUGGAAUUCCUGGUGUAGCGGUGAAAUGCGCAGAUAUCAGGAAGAACACCCGUGGCGAAGGCGGCUCUCUAGUACGGUACUGACGCUGAGACGCGAAAGCGUGGGGAGCGAACAGG